GAUGAACGCUGGCGGCGGGCCUGACACAUGCAAGUCGAGCGGGGUUUUCGGACCUAGCGGCGGACGGGUGAGUAAUGCGUAGGAAGCUACCCGAUAGAGGGGGAUACCAGUUGGAAACGACUGUUAAUACCGCAUAAUGUCUACGGACCAAAGUGUGGGACCUUCGGGCCACAUGCUAUCGGAUGCGCCUACGUGGGAUUAGCUAGUUGGUGGGGUAAUGGCUCACCAAGGCGACGAUCCCUAGCUGGUUUGAGAGGAUGAUCAGCCACACUGGAACUGAGACACGGUCCAGACUCCUACGGGAGGCAGCAGUGGGGAAUAUUGGACAAUGGGCGCAAGCCUGAUCCAGCCAUGCCGCGUGUGUGAAGAAGGCCUUCGGGUUGUAAAGCACUUUCAGUAGGGAGGAAGGGUUGUAGAUUAAUACUCUGCAAUUUUGACGUUACCGACAGAAUAAGCACCGGCUAACUCUGUGCCAGCCGCCACAGUAA
rnacentral:rRNA from 1 species